AAGCCUACCAUACUUUUCUAUAUUCUGGAUGUAAGAAAAGCUUACUUGAAAACAUACUAUAAAAUCCUACUUUUAGAACGUAAAAGAUUACUAAUGUGUGUUUAUGUAGGGGAAAUUAAGUAAACUAAAAUAUCUAAUCCACACUAUCGUUACCCAUAUUAUAAACACUUAACUACAGAAUUCUUACCUGCUUCCACUUGGGGAAAAGCAU
rnacentral:misc_RNA from 1 species